GUGUUGUAUGAAAGGAGAGAAGGUUAGCACUCCCUUUGACAAAGAUGGAAGAGGCGCCUAGACGAUGUGGUUUAU
rnacentral:ncRNA from 1 species